CGGGGCGUAGCGCAGCCCGGCUAGCGCGCCUGCUUCGGGAGCAGGAGGUCGGAGGUUCAAAUCCUCUCGCCCCGA
rnacentral:tRNA from 1 species